AUUUAUUGUGUUGUAGUAUCCACACAGCAGCAGGAUGAUUGACUCUGCAGCUUUAAUUCAAGGGAUGGAGAUGCUGUGCGCAUUUUACGCACGUGGGCACCGCCCUGGCGGCUCCAGGAUCUCCUCUGAAACUGGGAUCCCUAACGUCCUUGAGUGGGACUGCUGCGCACUAUUCUGCUGGUACGGGUUCUGUGAUGUGCCAUAAAGGAUAAGUGUCCAUUCUUUUAGGUUGCCUGUGAUGAGUUACAAUAAAAACAAUAGUAAUUAUAAUAAACAGCAUCAGCCUGUAAUGUGA